GAUGAACGCUGGCGGCGUGCCUAAUACAUGCAAGUCGAGCGAACGGACGAGAAGCUUGCUUUUCUGAUGUUAGCGGCGGACGGGUGAGUAACACGUGGAUAACCUACCUAUAAGACUGGGAUAACUUCGGGAAACCGGAGCUAAUACCGGAUAAUAUUUUGAACCGCAUGGUUCAAAAGUGAAAGACGGUCUUGCUGUCACUUAUAGAUGGAUCCGCGCUGCAUUAGCUAGUUGGUAAGGUAACGGCUUACCAAGGCAACGAUGCAUAGCCGACCUGAGAGGGUGAUCGGCCACACUGGAACUGAGACACGGUCCAGACUCCUACGGGAGGCAGCAGUAGGGAAUCCUCCGCAAUGGGCGAAAGCCUGACGGAGCAACGCCGCGUGAGUGAUGAAGGUCUUCGGAUCGUAAAACUCUGUUAUUAGGGAAGAACAUAUGUGUAAGUAACUGUGCACAUCUUGACGGUGCCUAAUCAGAAAGCCACGGCUAACUACGUG
rnacentral:rRNA from 1 species